rnacentral:rRNA from 1 species
CAAGACCUGCGCUUUUGGAGCGGCCGAUGCCUGAUUAGCUUGUUGGUAAGGUAAAAGCUUACCAAGGCUUCGAUCAGUAGCUGGUCUGAGAGGACGACCAGCCACACUGGGACUGAGACACGGCCCAGACUCCUACGGGAGGCAGCAGUGGGGAAUUUUGGACAAUGGGGGUAACCCUGAUCCAGCCAUGCCGCGUGAGUGAAGAAGGCCUUCGGGUCGUAAAGCUCUUUCAGCCGGAACGAAACGGUUACGGUUAAUACCCGUGACUACUGACGGUACCGGAAGAAGAAGCACCGGCUAACUACGUGCCAGCAGCCGCGGUAAUACGUAGGGUGCGAGCGUUAAUCGGAAUUACUGGGCGUAAAGCGUGCGCAGGUGGUUUUGUAAGUCAGAUGUGAAAGCCCCGGGCUCAACCUGGGAACU